rnacentral:rRNA from 1 species
UAAUCGCAGAUCAGAAUGCUGCGGUGAAUACGUUCCCGGGUCUUGUACACACCGCCCGUCACACCAUGGGAGUCGGAAAUGCCCGAAGCCGGUGACCCAACCAAUAGGAGGGAGCCGUCGAAGGCAGGUCUGAUAACUGGGGUGAAGUCGUAACAAGGUAGC